GCCUUCGUGGUGUAACGGUAGAACACUCGGCACGUAUUCGAGAGGCCCUGGUUCGAGUCCCGGUGAGGUCA
rnacentral:tRNA from 1 species